rnacentral:tRNA from 1 species
AGGACUUGAACCCUCACGGUCUAUAAAGCCAACGGAUUUUAAGUCCGUAGCGUUCCC